GGCAGAUCUGGUCUCUGGGGCUCUCGAACAGUCUUUUUGGCCAAAAGCAGACAUUCUGGAAAUAUUGGGCUGGCUUUGGGUGAUGUACUGUUGAAAAGUGUUGCCCACUCCAUAAAGGGAUCCAUUUCCUCUGCAAAAUGGGAUAAUCCAAUCCCUUAGGGUGGUAGAAAGGAUUAAGUGGAAGUAGCUAGCUCAUAGAUGCCUUUGGCCAAUUAACCUUUGACUGCGAUCUCACCCAUGGUGUAGCUCUCUGGUGCCCCCUGGUGUCUGUGGAUGCAAAAUGUUUGCCCUAGGCUGGCCAGCCUUCUGUCCUGCUUCCUGGGGAGGCUUCUCCCUGGCUAGGCUGUGUAGGAAGAGGAAGUCGUUGUACAGAUCAGACAGGCAGCCAGCGAGAGGUCAGUCGGUCCACGAGUAUUUACCGAACACUCGGGCGUAAGGCCUUGAACUGGGUCCUGUGAGGGCUCCAAGAAUGUACAGGACACCAUGGUCUGUUCUAUAGAGAAUGCAAGGUCAUUAGGGAGUUGACAUGAAAGCCUGGGAGUUGAACAAAUAGAGGUUCCCGGCAGUGUGGGAUCUGCAGCCAGUGAGUGAAGCCCCAGCAGCUAGCCCGGGAUGGUGAGGACUGUAUUCAAGAGGGGUGGGGCCAGAGCUGAGCCCCAGCGAUGGAGGAGGGCGGGGGCAGGGAGGACACACCAGGCGGAGGAAAUGACUGGUGCAAAGGCCUGUAGAUGGGACCGUGCAGGGAGAGUGAGGGGUCGGGAGGUAAGCAGUCAGCUAGGAUGCAAGUCCAGGCACAUGGGUGGUGGGAGGUACAAAUGGAAGUGGAACUGCCUUGAACCCUGAGGGGAGGGUUGCAGAUUUUAUUUCACAUUGCAGGAGGGAGUCAGUAAAGAGCAAAGAUUUUUUUUUUUUUUUUUUUUUUUUAAGCAAAGGAGUGUUUUGAUCAUUUGGGGCCUUAAGAAGACCAGCUUGGGGCUGGGCACAGUGACUCACACCUGUAAUCCCAGCUACUUGGGAGGCUGAGGGAGGAGAAUGGCUUGAACUUGGAGGUUCACCUCCUUGAGCCAAGAUCACACCACUGCACUCCAGCCUGGGCGGAGACAGAGUGAGACUUUGUCUCAAAAAAACAAAAACAAACAAACAGAAAAAGCAAAAAAAAACAACAAAAAACUAGCUUGGGAGAAACUGAGGCAGAAAAUCCAAAGAGGAAGUGAGACAAUAACUAUAAAACAGCGAUCCCCUUCACCACCUCCCUAGUGUGCUCAAAGUUUCAGUCUCUUUACUAGAAAACCACAGCUUUAUGUUGGAGUUAGUGCUGGAGCUUCUGGGGGCGAGGAUAUGGCUUUAGUAGUAGAAGCAGUAAUAAUCUUUAUCGAGUGCCAGGCUCUGUGCGUUAUUUUAUCCAGUUCUCACAUUAACCGUAGGAGACAGGUAGUGAUAGCUAGCCCCUUUUGGUGAGUGUGAAAACCGAGGCACCCAAAUAUUUAGUGAAGGGCCUGCGUUUUCAUAGGUGACAGGCUGCAGAGCCAGGACUCGGGUGCCUGUGUUCCCUGCGUGAGCUCUGUGUGUCACCACUGUGACUCUUGCACAUACAGGGCAGCCACUAGGAUUGGGGGUGCUUUGCUGAAAGGAGGGUACUGUUUAUCAACCUGCUCUUUGUCCCAUAGACAGUGCUGAAGUAACCCCGCCUGUCCUCUCUGUGAUGGGGGAGGCCACCCCAGUGAGCAUCGAGCCGUAAGUGCAGCCCUGCCCCUGGCUGAGGGGUGUGGGUGGCUACCCUGGUGCAGUGUGUGCAGGUGGGCCCUGGGAGCAACAGGAGGGUUCCGUGGGGCCUGCAGAGGGCUGAGAGGGCCUCCUUGCGCUUCUGUAUUUGGCCCUGGGCUUUGCUGUCCCCGCCCUGCCUCUGUGUGGAAGUUGCAGGGAAGGGCAAGGACCGGCUCAGCUUGAACUUAUCUCUAGGAGAGUUGGAAGGGGGAUCCAGAGGCUCUUUCCCAUCUGUAAACCUGCAGCUGCUUCUCCCCUCUCCAGCCUCUGGACCUUGCCUUUCUGGUGGUGCCAGGUCAGGCUGUCCUCCCAAGCUCCUAGAACCCAGACUCCCUACACCUAGCUGAGGCCUUGGUCUGCCAGCUCCCCCUCAUCUUCUUCCCACCCUGAGGGAUCAUCAAGUUCUCCGUCCCCGCAAGGUGAGGCCUCACUUCCUGCCCUUUUCACUCCUCUAGACGGAUCAACGUGGGCUCCCGGUUCCAGGCAGAAAUCCCCUUGAUGAGGGACCGUGCCCUGGCAGCUGCAGAUCCCCACAAGGCUGACUUGGUGUGGCAGCCAUGGGAGGACCUAGAGAGCAGCCGGGAGAAGCAGAGGCAAGUGGAAGACCUGCUGACAGCUGCCUGCUCCAGCAUUUUCCCUGGUGCUGGCACCAACCAGGAGCUGGCCCUGCACUGUCUGCACGAGUCCAGGGGAGACAUCCUGGAAACGCUGAAUAAGCUGCUACUGAAGAAGCCCCUGCGGCCCCACAACCAUCCGCUGGCAACUUAUCACUACACAGGCUCUGACCAGUGGAAGAUGGCCGAGAGGAAGCUGUUCAACAAAGGCAUUGCCAUCUACAAGAAGGAUUUCUUCCUGGUGCAGAAGCUGGUGAGCUGGGCUCUGUUUCAGGGUCAAAUGAGGGCCAGGAGCUGCCUGUGUGACUUUGGGGCUCCCUCUGCCAGUGACCAAGCCCUCUUAAAAAGCAGUCAGGUCAAUGCUACUGAGUAGCCUCAGAGAGAAUUUCCUAAAAAAUACAAGAAAGAGAAAGAUUAGGUCUCUUUUCCCUGUUGGUUCUAAGCAUCCUUUCCUCACUUCAGGGUAGUGUGGCCAAGCUCUGGGGUCUCAAUCCAGAAGGAGGCCUAAGUGGGCAUCAGACUUAAAAUAGGCAGGAGGAAGAUGGGGAGGAGGGUGGCAAGUAGAGGUGAGCCAUUCCCCAGAAGAAGAUGCAGGGGGAGGGUACCCUGGGGUGAGGGCAACUGAGAGCCAGCAAGUGCCUGCAGAGCUGACCUGGGGGCCUCUGCCCACUUCCUUUGACCCAGAGUUGCCUUCCAGUAACUCAGCUGUUCAAGUCCACAUUCCCUAGAUUUAUCUUGUCCUGUCUCCAUAUUCUUCUGGAAAAGCAGAUGCUUUGCUAAUCCAAGGAGUUGCAUCUUUCCAGCCCUGUCUCACAAAAUCUGGGCUGUGGGGAGAGAGAAUUGUGUGGACUGCCAAGGCAAAAGAGUUUUUAAAAAGAGCAUGCCCUUUCCUCUUGGGAUUGUAGAUUGUAUUGGGAACAGCCCUGGGGACUAGACAAAGUGCUGAUGAUGAAUUCCCCUACAAGGGCCCUGUUGUGAGGAGUCCUUUGCUGUGUUUUAGUAAUACUUUGUUCCCUGAUUGGGCAAUACUGACGGGAAGUACACGCCCGUGAAAUUCACUGAGGCGCCCCUAAUGCCUAAUGAAAUGAGCAGACCUUUAGUCAGUCAAACAAAGGGUCAGAGAGAAUUGACAGUAAAUGUGUAAAUGGCCUAAUUAAUACAUGUGUGACUUGGCCAUUUCUGUGAGAUGAAACAUGUCUGUUUCCUCCUCAGACACAAAGGGCCCACACUGACCCCUGGCCUCUCUGGACAGAUGCUCCCAGCCCAGCGAUGGCUGAGCAAUGUGGGAGCCUGUGUGGUGGUGUCAGAGAAAACAGCCUCUGCGUGUGGGAAAGUUGCCCAAAAACUAAACCCAGUGGCCAAAUAGAUUUAUGCAAUGGGAGAGCUAGAAUUUCAGAGCUUGAGAGGCAGGUCCCUGGAGAUCAUCUAGUCUUACUUAACCCCGUUUGCUAUUUACAAAUGAAAAACUUGAAAUUAGAAAUGUGAGUGACUUGCCUAAGCUCGAAUAGCUGUGCGGUAGCAGAGGCAGGACUAAGACUUAGGCCUUUCGCUUCCUCCUCAGGUUUUCCAGGGCUUUCUUGUGAGUUUCCCUUGAGUUCCUCCCCCGACAGGGAACACUGUGACAUUUCUGUAUGCUCACUUGUCAGCCACUGCUCCCUGGAGAUAAAUGAAAUUGUUUGCCUGGAUUAAUGAAAAGCGUCUGUGUUGCCAGGUCAGGGCUGGCUUUGGAUGUAAAUGGUGCCCAGACCUUUUCUCUCAACUUUUCAGUUUGAAAAAUGUCAAACUUAGAGGAAAAGGGAAAGAACAGUAGAAUGAACACCCAUCUACCCCUGACUUAGAUUUAGCAAUAGUUAACAUUGGCUAUAUUUGCUUUCUGUUUCUCUAUGUCUAAACAUAGACACACACAUAUACAGCUCUUUCUUGUUCUCUGAUUCAGCUAAUCAUUAAAAGUAAGUUACAGUCAUCCUGUCACAUGACUAAAACCUUUCAGCACGUAUCUCCUAAAAACCAAGAUAUUCUACAAAACCACAGUACCAUUAGCAUGCCCAAGAAAUUUAACCUGAUAAAAUAAUUCAGGCCAGGCAAGGUGGCUCACCCCUGUAAUUCCAGCACUUUGGGAGGCAGAGGCAGACGGAUCACUUGAGGCCAGGAGUUUGAGACCAGGCUGGCCAACAUGGCAAAACCCCGUGUCUACUAAAAAUACAAAAAAAAAACUAGCCGGUUGUGGUGGCACACACCUGUAAUCCCAGCUACUCAGGAAGCUGAGGCACGAGAAUUAUUUGAACCUGGGAGGCGGAGGUUGCAGUGAGCCGAGAUUGCAUCACUGCACUCCAGCCUGGGUGACAGAGCGAGACUCUGUCUCC
rnacentral:sRNA from 1 species